rnacentral:misc_RNA from 1 species
GAACGCACCUUGCGCUCCUUGGUAUUCCGAGGAGCAUGCCUGUUUGAGUGUCAUGAAAUUCUCAACUACUUUUUUACCAUUUUAUGUGUUAGGGGUGAGGUUGGAGUUGGAGGAUAAUUGCUGGCGCAACUCUUGUCUAAGGUUGCUUGUUGGCUCCUCUUGAAUGGAUGAGCUUUUCUAAUGGAUCAUAGCUCAGUAACACUAAUGUGAUAAUUAUCUACGUUAGAUGUGAAAACUAUGAGUAGAGUGGAAGCUCCUAUAGAAAAGAAGAUAAUAUGUCUUGGGUGAUAACAAACCCUUGAACUUUGACAAAUCUGACCUCAAAUCAGGUAGGACUACCCGCUGAACUUAAG